AACGAACACUGGCGGCGUGGUUUAGGCAUGCAAGUCGAACGUGAAAGUCCCUUCGGGGAUGAGUAAAGUGGCGAACGGGUGAGUAACGCGUGGGAAACCUUCCCUUCGAUGGGGGAUAACAGUUCUAACGAGCUGCUAAUACCGCAUACGACCCUUGGAUCGCAUGGUCCGGGGGUGAAAGGGGGCGAUCUCUUCGGAGAGCUCCCGUCGAUGGAUGGUCCCGCGUCCCAUUAGCUAGUUGGCGGGGUAAUGGCCCACCAAGGCGACGAUGGGUAGCCGGCCUGAGAGGGUGUCCGGCCACACUGGGACUGAGAUACGGCCCAGACUCCUACGGGAGGCAGCAGUCGAGAAGCUUCGGCAAUGGGCGAAAGCCUGACCGAGCGACGCCGCGUGAGCGAAGAAGGCCCUAUGGGUUGUAAAGCUCUGUCAGAUUGGGAAGAAAACCUCGCGGUUAAUACCCGCGAGGCCUGACGGUACCAUCAGAGGAAGCACCGGCUAACCCCGUG
rnacentral:rRNA from 1 species